rnacentral:lncRNA from 1 species
AGUGAUUUUGAAUCCCAGCAAAUCUCCUAUGUCUCACUCAGGGGCUCUAAAGUGUGUUCUGCAGGCCAGCAGCAUCGGCGUCACCUGGAAACAUGUCCAAAAUGAAAAUUAUUUGGCCCCACCCAGACCUGUUGACUCAGAAACUCAAGAGGUGAGGGCCAGCAGUCCGUUUUAGCGAGGCUUCCAUAGGAUUCUGAUGCACACUCAACUUUGAAAACCACCAUUUGUGGUAGAGUCUACCCCCUGCCUUAAUGGGUGAUCAGUAUGGAGAAGUCACAUUUGGUAGAUUUUCCCUUGUAAACAUUUC